rnacentral:rRNA from 1 species
AUUGAACGCUGGCGGCAGGCCUAACACAUGCAAGUCGAGCGGAUGAGAGGAGCUUGCUCCUCGAUUCAGCGGCGGACGGGUGAGUAAUGCCUAGGAAUCUGCCUAGUAGUGGGGGACAACGUUUCGAAAGGAACGCUAAUACCGCAUACGUCCUACGGGAGAAAGUGGGGGAUCUUCGGACCUCACGCUAUUAGAUGAGCCUAGGUCGGAUUAGCUAGUUGGUGGGGGAAAGGCCUACCAAGGCGACGAUCCGUAACUGGUCUGAGAGGAUGAUCAGUCACACUGGAACUGAGACACGUUCCAGACUCCUACGGGAGGCAGCAGUGGGGAAUAUUGGACAAUGGGCGAAAGCCUGAUCCAGCCAUGCCGCGUGUGUGAAGAAGGCCUUCGGGUCGUAAAGCACUUUAAGUUGGGAGGAAGGGCUCAUAGCGAAUACCUGUGAGUUUUGACGUUACCAACAGAAUAAGCACCGGCUAACUUCGUGCCAGCAGCCGCGGUAA